rnacentral:ncRNA from 20 species
UACAGUGAUGACACGAUGUCGCCCCAAACGGAGGCUCCUAUUCAGGACGAUGACCGAUUCGAUUCAAGCCAAACACUGAAAAUUCUGAUC